rnacentral:rRNA from 1 species
UACGAAGGGUGCAAGCGUUAAUCGGAAUUACUGGGCGUAAAGGGUGCGUAGGCGGUUCGUUAAGUCUGUCGUGAAAUCCCCGGGCUCAACCUGGGAAUGGCGAUGGAUACUGGCGAGCUAGAGUGUGUCAGAGGAUGGUGGAAUUCCCGGUGUAGCGGUGAAAUGCGUAGAGAUCGGGAGGAACACCGGUGGCGAAGGCGGCAUCCUGGACCGGCAUUGACGCUGAGGCGCGAAAGCCAGGGGAGCAAACGGG